CUGUCAUUGUACGCAAUAUAGUAACCGUUAACAUACACUUUCUGGGCAGUACAAUCGUCGUUUCAGCGACAAACUACAACUCUAUAUACACUGUCACACUCGCACAUAAACCAAAACAAGCAAAAACUCUCUGAAAUUUUUUCCAUUUCUGCACACUAUCAAUUUUUCUGGGUGUUCCUCAAACUUUGAUCUUUUUAUUUUUUUGGGAUUUUGAUUUUAGUUGAAGUUCAGUUAGUGAAAAAAAGGAAAUUUCAUAGUGAUAAUGGAGAUGAAAUUUAUCGUUUUCAAGUUUUGCUGCCAAAUGGGAUUAGUGUUAAAAUGGUUAAAAGAAACCCAAAAGAUAGUAGUAUUUCUUUGGAUGUUUUUGUGGAGAUUGUUAAGGAGAAGUGCUAUGAAAUUUUGAGGCAAACAGAGGAUUAUAAAAGUAGGAGGGAGAUUUUCUGGACUUCUAAAGAGUUGUUUUUGGAAGAUAGUAAAGGGUUUAAAAUAAGGAGUUUAUUAUGUUAUGAUAAGUUCAAGCCUAACAAAACUCACUACUUCAGACUCUUUCCUUUCUUUGGGAUGUUUGGAUAUGGUGGAACUAUUGCUUCCAUGCAUUUAGGGAGUGUUGAGGUUUACGAGGAUAAAGUUUCUGUAUUUGAUACUGGCCCUGGAAUGGAUGGAUGAUUGAUGAAAUUCGAUUGUGAAGUGGGGAAAAAUGGGUGCUUCAGUUCACAGAACUUCCAAAAAGCUUGCAAUUGGCGGAAAACCUCCAUAUCUUACGCCUUUCUUUGGGAUGUUUGGAUAUGGUGGAACUAUUGCUUCCAUGCAUUUAGGGAGGCAUGCUGUAGUGUCUGCAAAGACUAAACAAUCUAAAAAAGUUUAUUGGCUUCGUUUAGAGAGGGAUGCUCUACUAAGGCAGUCUGGCUCUGAUCUUAACUGGAAGGCCUUGGGUGGACUUCGAGAUCCGUCAGACAGAGAAAUUGAAUUAUCCCCUCAUGGGAGUUUUACAAAAAUUGUUAUGAAACCCAAGUUAGAACUCCCUGAUAUAUUUCAACUCCAGUGCAAGCUUAAGGAUAUUUAUUUCCUUUAUAUUCAGUGUGAUGAGAUAUCCAAGACAGGGAGGACUACAAUAUUGGUGGAUUUUGAGAUUAAUGGCAUCAAUUUAGCUGAAGUUGAAGGUGGUGAAGUCGCAGUGACAAAUCUGCAUUCUUCUAAUGGCCCAGACUUUGUCCUGAAUCUUCACUUUUCUUUUGAAGAGGAUAAGGCUGCAUCUAAAUCACCAGGUGUAAAAGCAAUUCGAGAAGGGAAUGCACGCCUGAAGUGUGUUUACUUUCCCAAUCUUGAGGGCAAGGAGAGUAUUGAGAAAAUUUUGGAAAAACUGAAUUCUGAUGGCUGUGGAAUUCAAGAAGACUAUGAAUCUUUUAGUCGUAUUUCCAUCAUGUACUUUAGUGUGUAUGCUUCAAAUGUUAAUUGGUUGCUUAGUAGUUCCUUGUUUAUGGAUCUGCUACCUUUCAUGAAACCCAGACAGAAGAAGGGGAGCAAAGUUGAAACUUUGAAGAGGUGUUGUCUAAGAGUUAAGUGCUUCAUUGAUACUGAUGCUGGUUUCAAUCCAAUACCAUCCAAGACUGAUCUAGCCCCUCAUGACCGGUUUACCAAAGCAUUGAAGGAUCUGGGAGUUCACACUCCUCAGAACGAGAAAGUAAAAAUCCGAAUUUGUAGAGGCGAAAAGCAAUUGACACUUCAACAACUGGAGCAAGAGUAUCAAAACUGGAUUCUACAAAUGCAUAGUCAGUAUGAUAAUGAAUACGAAAUCAACUGUGGUGAUGAAAAACCUGAUGUUCUUGUUGCUGAAUCAAUCAAAGAACUUGGCAUAACUUGUGAUGUUGUUAGGGUUCUUAAAGCUAUAAGUUGGAAGGGCAGAUCUUGGAAUAGGGGACAGAAAGUUAAGAUUCUCAAAGGUGCUUGUUCUGGCUGUCAUAAGAACAACCUAUUUGCAACGCUCGAAUAUUUUUUACUUGAAGGCCUUGAAGAGGAUACAGGAGGAGAGGCACGGAUCAUUUGCAGGCCACUAGGGGUUGAGGAGGAAGAUGGUAGUGUGCUUAAAGUUGAUGCUACUAACAGAAGCUUGGAACUCCGCGGCUCUAUAUCUCUGCCUAUUGUUGUGAUGGAUCCAGGAAAGUGUAUUCCCGUUAGCGACAACGACUGGAAUUGCCAAGUUGACAAGCUAAAUCUGAAACUUCCUUCGUCAAUCAAUGUGCUGGGACCAAAGCAAUGCGAAGCCUUAGAAAUUGAUGGGGGAUUACUUACAGAUGCUUCAGUUUCUGCUGGAACAGUACCUCCUAAAGAAGUUGUCGCCGUACUGCGGCCUUCCAAUUUCACUCGAAGUAGUGCCUCUAAUGAUGUAGACCAAAAAUAUAUUGUAAGGGACAAUUAUGAGAUGUGCCUGGAUAUUAAAUUUAAGACUGAAGCUGCAAAGUGCCCCAAGGUGGACCAUAUUUUUUCAGGAACUGUUACAAAUACAUACGUAACGGACGUCAGGGUUUGUAUAUAUUUUUGGUGGGCUCAAUCCCAAGUUUGUUUCAAAAAGUGGGUUUUUAUUCUCCUUUUCUCUGGUAAGAUCAAGACCCUUCUCUUAAAAAAACUGCAACUGCAAGUUCUGAAUUGAUUGUGAGGGUGAAAGCAUCAUCUAAUAUCAAACGCUGGGAACUCUCCAAGGAUGAUUUAGAACUACCUUUGCGUGUGAGUGCAGGUUCUUGUUUCCCACCAUUGACAGUUGCCUGUUAUGAUGACUAUGACAACAUGAUUUCUUUCAAGAGUAUACCAGAGAUAGAAAUCCAGUUGACGUCUAAUGGUACUGUGCUUUCUCAUUUAAAGAACUCGAAGGUGGAUUUGUCAUCAGAUAUGUAUCAUAUGAUUGUUUCGAAUGUGCGGAUUACAACUAAUAAGUUAGACAAUAUCCGCCCAAGUUAUGAAGCCAUGUUGGUGUUAUCUCAGCCUCAUAAGCAACCCUUUCUCAGCAUACCUUGUCAAGUGCUUCCUGGACCUCUACGAUUCGUCAACAUUCUUUCAUCAGAAUCAAGCAAAAGUUUACUUCCGAAGCAGGUCGUUGAGGAUAUGAAAGUGGAGGUGUUAGAUAGACAUAGUAAUCAUGUGCAACAAGGCAUAGAAGUAGAGCUGCAAGUUCAUGGUUUUUCUUUCCUGGAUCAAAUUGGUCUGAAGCGCAAGGUUGAUGAUCAUGGUUUCAUUGAUCUUAGCGGUCUUUUGAAAGUCACAGAAGGUUUUGGUAAAUUAGUGUCUCUUACUGUUAUAUCCAACAAAAAUGUUGUAGCUAAUAAAAAAUUUCAAGUCGAAAAGCGGGAGCUGAGGAUGGUGACAGUGGUACCUAAGCUUUGUCAUUUGGGGUCGAAGUUGAAGAAUUUAGCCUUUGAAGUUGUUAAUUCUAAGGGUGAUGUUGAUCACACUAUACAUGACUCAGACAAGCAUGGCAGAUCAGAUACUUUAAGAUUAAAAACAGACUUUCCAGGCUUUGAUGAUUCUUUAAGAUAUGCUUUUAAGCUGGGGAGAUGUGUCAUUCCGUCAAUUACUCUUCCUUUAACAGAAGGAACUUUCUGCAUUGAGGCCAAUCAUUGUCAACACUUCGAGCUAUGUGCCAAGUUUGAGAUUAGAGUAUCAAGAUCAACAUGUACAGAAAAAGAUAUUCUUUCUGAUCUCCGAGCUUCAGAUCAGCUGUAUUUGAAGGAUAGAUCUGCUUCCGGAUCAGUUUCCGAUGCUGUAAAGCCUGUGACAAACAGGAAGAGGUCUGCAUUGCGAGAUUCAGAGGUUACUGUUCCAUAUGUUGAGGAGGAGUGUAAUUUUGCAUCUCCCCUCCAAACUCAAAAUCUGGAGCAUGGAGAUCGUCUACCUCAGUCGUCAUAUGGGAAAUCAACAUCUGGGAAAUUGUCCAUUUCGAUUGAGUCAAAAAUGCAAAAGAAGCAGGUUACUGUUCCAUAUGUUGAGGAGGAGUGUGAUUUUGCAUCUCCCCUCCAAACUCAAAAUCCGGAGCAUGGAGAUUGCCUACCUCAGUCGUCAGAUGGGAAAUCAGCAUCUGGGAAAUUGUCCAUUUUGAUUGAGUCAAAAAUGCAGAAGAAGCAGGCUAACAUUACACAAACUCCAGACAAGCAGCCUGAUCAAAAGUACGGGCUUAACAGUGACAUUUUCAAUUCUUCAGAAGGGAUGAUGCCUUUUGCUGAUACUUGUACACCUGAGCGUGCAAUACCUUCAGGAGGACCUGGCUUAGAGGACUUUGAGAGCAUUGAAAAAGAGAUCUACCAUUAUGGUUCAGCUAUUAAAGAUCAAGAAGAGGCCUUACAAUGGUGUCUUCUGCGUAAGGAUGAAAUUGAAGAGGAUUUGACACAGCUACAAGCUUCAAUGGAACUGCUGCCAGUAUCUCAGCCAGAUUGCUCGUCUCAGAAGGAGGUGGUGCUGGGAAAAAUAGAAGAGAAGGUUGAUUCAGCGGCUUCCAUAUAUGGCAUUGUUACCAGGAAUCCAUUAUUGAAGAAUCGGCACCCUGAUUUCAUUGAUGAUGUGGUUGGCCUAGUUGCCCUUCUUGCAACAGUUUCCACACCCGCGCUUAAUUGUUCAUUGGCCGAGUACUUAGGGGAAGAUCAAAUGCUAGCCAUUGUUUGUCAAUCUAGUGUUGCACUAACAAGCCCUGAGAAGUACGAAGACAUUCUAAUGUCCUUAGCAGGCGAAUUGGGAAAAUGCAUAAAAAAUCGUCAACUAAUUAUAUGUCUUGAAGAUUUAAAAGCAUAUGGUGGUGACAUUCUGGAGACUGAUCCUCAAAGAAGGCUGGCCUUACCGAAUCCCAUCUUACCUGAGGGAACAACUCCACAUGGUUUCAUAGGUUAUGCUGUUAAUAUGAUCGACAUUGAUGUGGACCAUCUCCAAACUAGGACAUAUGUGGGUCAUGGCCUUCGUGAAACCCUUUUUUAUCGACUCUUUGGAGAACUUCAAGUGUAUGAUACGAAAGAACACAUGAAACAUGCUCGUGGAUGCAUAACAACAGAUGGUGCAAUAUCUCUGGAUGGACUAAUCAUGAGAGGAAGAGGAAUUGUUUCUCUAGGAUCAUCUGAGAAAGUGAGCGUGCAUUUUCCUAGCGUCUCUCAAGAUAGUCAAUUGGUUGUCUCUUCGGGGGAGGUCAUGAACGAGAUUGAGAAAAAGAAAUCGGAGUUAUGUUUAGUGGAGACAGCAAUCGUUUGCGAAAGUGAAAAAAGGAGUUCAUACUUAAAGCUUUUUUCUGAGAAGAAGGCAGGUUAUCUGAAGUUACUUGAGAACAAAGAAAGAGAACAUAAGGUUUUGUUAUCACAACAAUUAUUUAAGAAAAGUCCUAUUGCUUCCUUCAAAAGUUCUUUACAGUAGAUAUAGAGACAUAUUAAGGUUAGUUUCUGAUGUUAAAGGUGUAUGUAGUAGUGUGUACAUAGUUUCAGAACAUAUAGCAUAGAAAAAAGGAUCUGUUUUUUGAGAUUUUAGCCUUUCUGAAACAACAGUUGGAAAGGAAACAGAAUGAAGAUCUCAUUGUAUGGUGGCAAUCAAGAAUAGUCACAUACAAAGGUUCAUGUUUCCUAGAAUUGGAAUAGAUUAUGGUUAGAUUUUGAUAAUAAAACACACCCUGAAUUAUUGUGAUUGACAAGUUAGUGAUUAAUGACAGAUUUUUACUUAUAACAUGGAGGUUGGAACAAUGUAACAAUUAUUGUCAAAAUUGGCGUUAGAUGGUUUAUUCAGCUAUAUGUAUAAAUAUAUUUCUAAUG